rnacentral:lncRNA from 1 species
ACGAAGAAAGGCUUCAGGGGAAAAGAAAACAAAAACAAAAGCAGAGAAAGAAAGAAAGAAAGAAAAAAUGUUUCAGGGGUUCUUAGUACCGAAUACUGUGUUUCACCUUAUCAUCGACAUAGAUUCUUGAACUUCAACAAUAUAAUCCAGGUAAUUUCAUGUAAUUCUUCUUCUUUUAAGACUAUUAAUUUAUAUUAUGAUUCUUUAUGGGACUAAGUAGAGAUGAUGUUGGGAUUGGAUUAAGAGUUUAAAAGAUAAAGUUAAAGAAACUGGGAGAAAUCCAUGAGACCUUUUCAAGAAUUAACUGAGUAUAUUAUAUGAAUAAGUUAUAUUUGGUGGAUUUUCUGGAUUUGGUUUAAACAACAAGUAGCACGAGUAAGUAUAAAUUGACGAAUUAAGAGUCAAAUAUGAAACCUCAAGGGUUAGGUAUUUUAUAUUAGCUAUGAAUUAGCCUAAACAAGAAAAUUAACACGAGAUCGAUGUUGAUGUAAUUAUAGAUUGAUUGAAAAAAGUUGUACAGAUCGCUUGAGGUGACGAGUUUGGUAUUUCGACACGAGUACUGUGAGUACAACUUGUAUUUUCAUAACCUUCAUGGUUUAUACAUGAUUUUAAAAAUAAUAUUUGUUACCGAAUGUUUGAAAUUGCAUGUGGGACAAGUCCUUUACUUGAUAUGGUACUGAAUAGUUUACUUGAGAUAUUUACAUUUAGUUAAAAUGUUCUCACUGUUACUAGACAUGUUUUACUGUUAUUUGAGAUAUGAUUACUAUUACCGAAAUGGGAUUACAUGAUCUGAUAAGAAUUGAAAUGCCAUGUACUAUUUUGAAAAUGCUUUCCUAUGAAUAUUUACUGCUUACAAAGAAAAGUAUAAAUAGGAGGAGACUUUGAAGGAUCUCGUAGCUAACGACGGGUUCGUUAGACCUGAUGCACCUUGUAUUCACCGAUUACUAAGUAAAAUUAUAACCCUCGCUAGUGGAAAGGUAGAACUAGCAUACAGUUAUAGUUUCCCUCGAGUAGGGACCUACAGUUAUAUUUGACUCCCUUUUACGAAGGUGUCCACACAGUAAUACAGAUUACAUGAUCCUUUCUUGGAAACCUCUCAAACAUAAAGAUUGAUAUGGCACAGUGUUUACCGAGUUCAUUACCGAAUUGUUAAAUUGAUUUCUAUUACAUGAAAAACAUGAUGAGACUGAAUAUUGUUUCUGAAAGGGCAUUCUUAUGAUAUUUUCUAUUUAAUAUACAAGCAUGCUUUCUGACUUAUCCCCAAUUAAAAAAGUUGUGGUUAAGUGUUAUUAUUCAAUGAGCUAGAGACUCACUUCCCGUUAUUUUUUUCAGAGAUAUCAGUUAGCGCAACAAGGGUUUUGUUAAUUAGAGUACACGAGUUGAUAGUUUUCGGUGAGCCCCGCACUUGUUCGUGUGGGCGAAGAGUUUAUUUAUUAUUAUCGUCUUUUCUUUUGAACUCUUAGAGUCGCUCCAUAGUCAUUUUUAUUAGUGUCGUGAGUAUUCAUUCAUUAUAUAGGACUAGUUACCAGUAUUGCACUUUCUUUCGUAUUUUUGAGAUGGUUUAAGUAUUAUUAUGUUAGUAAGGUUGGUAAUGUUGGUGAAAACUCGUUUUGCUUAGUUCAUGAAGAUUGUGGUUGGUUUAGGUGAAUAUUGGUUGAUUAUACAUUAUUUAUGAGACGGAAAAACUUUGGAUAGUCCUAAAACAGGGGAGACUCUGUCCGAUUUUCUGUAAAAUACUGAUGAGGCUUACUUAGGAGCAUUUGCUCCUAAGCGUCGGUCAUGAUCCUAAAUUGGGUCGUGAUAAUUGGGUCGGUUGUUCUCAUGCUACACUUCUUGUGCACAUACUGGUGCUGAUCGCAAUGGCGUCUAGUAGUUUUCUGCUCGGAUUCAGCCACAGUUGGAGACUUGAGGUAUACCUGCACGGCGUCCGCAGCCCUGAAGUCUCCUUCUUUAUCUAUCCUACUGUUUAUCUAGUUUCAAACAGUUGUACCUUGUUCCAGAUCAUAUAUGUAGUAUUCUAGUUGUUCAUAUACUUGUGACUCCGAAUUUCUAAGAGUAGUUGGC